rnacentral:sRNA from 1 species
AUAUAAUCAUAUAUUUUUCCUCCUAUUCUGUAAUUAAUAGGGGUACCUUUAGUUCUACAAGGAGGAGCUGUCAAACAGUACUUGCUGCACAUUUACUUUCCGUUUUCAGGGUCAUUGCUCCAGUUUUGCCUCAUUUGGCAGAGGAUGUGUGGCAGCAUCUUCCUUUUCAGUUCACCACUGAAGAUGGUUGUCUUGCAAACUUCGUCUUUGAGUCAAAAUGGCCAAUGUUAAAUGAAAGACACCUUGCUUUCCCCAUAGAAGAAGUCCAUUUUUGGGAGAAGAUUCUUGAGGUAAUAAUAA